AGUGAACGCUCGCGGUAGGCCUAACACAUGCAAGUCGAACGGCAGCACAGUAAGAGCUUGCUCUUACGGGAUGCGAGUGGCCUCUGCGUUAGGAAUACAUCGGCACCUACUUUUUCGUGGCGGAUCACGUAGGGAAACUUACGCUAAUACCGCAUACGACCUACGGGUGAAAGCAGGGGACCUUCCGACCUUGCGCGAUUGACUGAGCCGAUGUCGGAUUAGCUAGUUGGCGGGGUAAAGGCCCACCAAGGCGACGAUCCGUAGGUGGUCUGAGAGGAUGAGCAGCCACACUGAAACUGAGACACGGUCCAGACUCCUACGGGAGGCAGGAGUGGGGAAUAUUGGACAAUGGGGGCAAGCCUGAUCCAGCCAUACCGCGUGGGUGAAGAAGGCCUUCGGGUUGUAAAGCCCUUUUGUUGGGAAAGAAAAGCAGCAGGGUGAUACCCCGCUGUUCUGACGGUACCCAAAGAAUAAGCACCGGCUAACUUCGUG
rnacentral:rRNA from 1 species